rnacentral:lncRNA from 1 species
GCUGAUUGAAACAAAAACACUUGGCAAUAAAAGAACAAAAACUGACAUUGGGCAUCUGAUUUUUCUGCUAUCCAAAACCAUUAGCAGAAAAAAACAUUUUUUCACUCAUUCUAAAAAAAGAUCUCAGCCUUGCCUUGCUUCAUGACACGACUGCCUUACCAUGUGCUGCAAGGAGAUGAAACCUAGCAGACCAACAAAAGGUCAACUGAUGCAAAAACAGGUUUGCUUGGCAUUUGGCAAGAUAGCAAGUGCUGUUUAAAAGUCACAAUAGCAGUUUCUAACAGCAGAAUUGAAAGAGAAAAACUGUCAAAAUUCAUGACCACAACAAGCAACAUAGCACUGCAGCAGAUUUUUUUUUUGAUUCACCUCACCUUGCUUGUGCAUUUUCUGCCAAAACCUCAUCCAUUCCAAACCCCUGCACCUACUCCCUCAUUUUUUGGCCUUGGCAUAUCACUCUUUCUGUCCAAAACAAGUGGACCAAAAAAACCUAACUUGCUGGUAUUGCAUUCCUAUUUCUUCCUGUCCAACUCAGAACAUUGCCUUGCCAACCAUGACAGUUUGGUUCACCUCUAUUUUGCAUCACUUCUAAACUUUGCCAACAUAACUAAACCUAACCUGCCUUGCAUUUUCUAAAAGCUGUCCAAGCACAAGUGGACCAAACAUCAUCAAACCAACAUGACCUAACCUCAUUCAUACAGGCUCAUCCCACUUGCAUUAACCAACAAAAUCUAACCAAUUUCCUACAAUCUCUAAAACCACCUAACUGCGUUUUGGCCAUUUCUUCACAAACCUGUCCCAAAAGCUCAAUGAGCAAAAAGCUUGGCCAUGCCUAGUUUCAUAUCCCAUUUGCAUUUACCAAAACCACCAACCAAACCAGAAAAUCUCAUUGAUACACAUACAUAUCCUUGGCCUUUUCUUNNN